rnacentral:rRNA from 1 species
AUUUGAAAUCUGGCCUCGGCCCGAGUUGUAAUUUGCAGAGGAUGCUUCUGGUGCGGCACCGACCGAGUCCCCUGGAACGGGGCGCCAUAGAGGGUGAGAGCCCCGUGUGGUUGGACGCCUAUCCUGUGUGAAGCUCCUUCGACGAGUCGAGUAGUUUGGGAAUGCUGCUCAAAAUGGGAGGUAAAUUUCUUCUAAAGCUAAAUAUUGGCCAGAGACCGAUAGCGCACAAGUAGAGUGAUCGAAAGAUGAAAAGCACUUUGAAAAGAGGGUUAAAUAGCACGUGAAAUUGUUGAAAGGGAAGCGCUUGUGACCAGACUUGCGCCUCGUCGAUCAUCCGGGGUUCUCCCCGGUGCACUCGGCGGGGCUCAGGCCAGCAUCGGUUUUCGCGGGGGGACAAAGGCCCCGGGAACGUAGCUCCUCCGGGAGUGUUAUAGCCCGGGGCGUAAUGCCCUCGCGGGGACCGAGGACCGCGCUUCGGCAAGGAUGCUGGCG